CAAAAUGACACCGAAAUUAACAUUGAAAGGUCACCUUACGGCCUUCAACAAUGUGCAAAGCCGAUACUGCAUAGUCUGAUAUAAAAAGCCCCGAAAUGACAAUGUAAAACAAUUCAAACGAGAAAACUAACAGCUUUAUUUAUUUACAAAAAAUGAACGAAAAACAAAUAUGAAACACAUAAACAAACGACAACCACUGAAUUACAGGCUCCUGACUGGAAUGUUCAUAAUAUAUUACAUGUAUGUUCAUAAUGAAAUUAAC
rnacentral:lncRNA from 1 species